GCCUAGCCCCGAUGGAAGCAAAUAUCCUUUUGUCUCGUCCUCAAACGAGAUAAAAGAUAUUGCGGACAGCGGGAGUGAAC
rnacentral:sRNA from 1 species